UACGGAGGAUGCAAGCGUUAUCCGGAAUUAUUGGGCGUAAAGCGUCCGCAGGUGGCUAUUCAAGUCUGCGGUCAAAGACUGGGGCUUAACCCUGGAAAGGCCGUGGAAACUGAAGAGCUAGAGUGCAGUAGGGGUAGAGGGAAUUCCCGGUGUAGCGGUGAAAUGCGUAGAGCUCGGGAAGAACAUCGGUGGCGAAAGCGCUCUGCUGGACUGCAACUGACACUCAGGGACGAAAGCUAGGGGAGCGAAUGGG
rnacentral:rRNA from 1 species